rnacentral:rRNA from 1 species
UACGAAGGGGGCUAGCGUUGCUCGGAAUCACUGGGCGUAAAGGGUGCGUAGGCGGGUCUUUAAGUCAGGGGUGAAAUCCUGGAGCUCAACUCCAGAACUGCCUUUGAUACUGAGGAUCUUGAGUAUGGGAGAGGUGAGUGGAACUGCGAGUGUAGAGGUGAAAUUCGUAGAUAUUCGCAAGAACACCGGUGGCGAAGGCGGCCCACUGGAUCGGUACUGACGCUGAGGUGCGAAAGCGUGGGGAGCAAACAGGAUUAGAACCUACGGUCGAGUCCAAGAUCCAG